rnacentral:rRNA from 1 species
GAUGAACGCUGGCGGCGUACCUAAUACAUGCAAGUCGAGCGAACAGACGAGGAGCUUGCUCCUCUGACGUUAGCGGCGGACGGGUGAGUAACACGUGGAUAACCUACCUAUAAGACUGGGAUAACUUCGGGAAACCGGAGCUAAUACCGGAUAAUAUAUUGAACCGCAUGGUUCAAUAGUGGAAGACGGUUUUGCUGUCACUUAUAGAUGGAUCCGCGCCGCAUUAGCUAGUUGGUAAGGUAACGGCUUACCAAGGCGACGAUGCGUAGCCGACCUGAGAGGGUGAUCGGCCACACUGGAACUGAGACACGGUCCAGACUCCUACGGGAGGCAGCAGUAGGGAAUCUUCCGCAAUGGGCGAAAGCCUGACGGAGCAACGCCGCGUGAGUGAUGAAGGUCUUCGGAUCGUAAAACUCUGUUAUUAGGGAAGAACAAAUGUGUAAGUAACUAUGCACGUCUUGACGGUACCUAAUCAGAAAGCCACGGCUAACUACGUG